rnacentral:rRNA from 1 species
AUUGAACGCUGGCGGCAUGCCUUACACAUGCAAGUCGAACGGUAACGGGCCUUCGGGUGCCGACGAGUGGCGAACGGGUGAGUAAUACAUCGGAACGUGCCCGAUCGUGGGGGAUAACGAGGCGAAAGCUUUGCUAAUACCGCAUACGAUCUACGGAUGACAGCAGGGGACCGCAAGGCCUUGCCGGGACGGAGCGGCCGAUGGCAGAUUAGGUAGUUGGUGGGAUAAAGGCUGACAAAGCCGACGAUCUGUAGCUGGUCUGAGAGGAUGAUCAGCCACACUGGGACUGAGACACGGCCCAGACUCCUACGGGAGGCAGCAGUGGGGAAUUUUGGACAAUGGGCGCAAGCCUGAUCCAGCCAUGCCGCGUGCAGGAUGAAGGCCUUCGGGUUGUAAACUGCUUUUGUACGGAACGAAAAGCCUUCUUUUAAUACAGGAGGGUCAUGACGGUACCGUAAGAAUAAGCACCGGCUAACUACGUG